GAUGAACGCUGGCGGCGUGCCUAAUACAUGCAAGUCGAGCGAACAGACGAGGAGCUUGCUCCUCUGACGUUAGCGGCGGACGGGUGAGUAACACGUGGAUAAACUACCUAUAAGACUGGGAUAACUUCGGGAAACCGGAGCUAAUACCGGAUAAUAUAUUGAACCGCAUGGUUCAAUAGUGAAAGACGGUUUUGCUGUCACUUAUAGAUGGAUCCGCGCCGCAUUAGCUAGUUGGUAAGGUAACGGCUUACCAAGGCAACGAUGCGUAGCCGACCCGAGAGGGUGGUCGGCCACACUGGAACUGAGACACGUUCCAGACUCCUACGGGAGGCAGCAGUAGGGAAUCUUCCGCAAUGGGCGAAAGCCUGACGGAGCAACGCCGCGUGAGUGAUGAAGGUCUUCUGAUCGUAAAACUCUGUUAUUAGGGAAGAACAAAUGUGUAAGUAACUAUGCACGUCUUGACGGUACCUAAUCAGAAAGCCACGGCUAACUACGUG
rnacentral:rRNA from 1 species